GGGUUGUGAGGUUAAGCGACUAAGCGUACACGGUGGAUGCCCUGGCAGUCAGAGGCGAUGAAGGACGUGCUAAUCUGCGAUAAGCGUCGGUAAGGUGAUAUGAACCGUUAUAACCGGCGAUUUCCGAAUGGGGAAACCCAGUGUGAUUCGUCACACUAUCAUUAACUGAAUCCAUAGGUUAAUGAGGCGAACCGGGGGAACUGAAACAUCUAAGUACCCCGAGGAAAAGAAAUCAACCGAGAUUCCCCCAGUAGCGGCGAGCGAACGGGGAGCAGCCCAGAGCCUGAAUCAGUGUGUGUGUUAGUGGAAGCGUCUGGAAAGGCGCGCGAUACAGGGUGACAGCCCCGUACACAAAAAUGCACAUGCUGUGAGCUCGAUGAGUAGGGCGGGACACGUGGUAUCCUGUCUGAAUAUGGGGGGACCAUCCUCCAAGGCUAAAUACUCCUGACUGACCGAUAGUGAACCAGUACCGUGAGGGAAAGGCGAAAAGAACCCCGGCGAGGGGAGUGAAAAAGAACCUGAAACCGUGUACGUACAAGCAGUGGGAGCACGCUUAGGCGUGUGACUGCGUACCUUUUGUAUAAUGGGUCAGCGACUUAUAUUCUGUAGCAAGGUUAACCGAAUAGGGGAGCCGAAGGGAAACCGAGUCUUAACUGGGCGUUAAGUUGCAGGGUAUAGACCCGAAACCCGGUGAUCUAGCCAUGGGCAGGUUGAAGGUUGGGUAACACUAACUGGAGGACCGAACCGACUAAUGUUGAAAAAUUAGCGGAUGACUUGUGGCUGGGGGUGAAAGGCCAAUCAAACCGGGAGAUAGCUGGUUCUCCCCGAAAGCUAUUUAGGUAGCGCCUCGUGAAUUCAUCUCCGGGGGUAGAGCACUGUUUCGGCAAGGGGGUCAUCCCGACUUACCAACCCGAUGCAAACUGCGAAUACCGGAGAAUGUUAUCACGGGAGACACACGGCGGGUGCUAACGUCCGUCGUGAAGAGGGAAACAACCCAGACCGCCAGCUAAGGUCCCAAAGUCAUGGUUAAGUGGGAAACGAUGUGGGAAGGCCCAGACAGCCAGGAUGUUGGCUUAGAAGCAGCCAUCAUUUAAAGAAAGCGUAAUAGCUCACUGGUCGAGUCGGCCUGCGCGGAAGAUGUAACGGGGCUAAACCAUGCACCGAAGCUGCGGCAGCGACGCUUAUGCGUUGUUGGGUAGGGGAGCGUUCUGUAAGCCUGUGAAGGUGUGCUGUGAGGUAUGCUGGAGGUAUCAGAAGUGCGAAUGCUGACAUAAGUAACGAUAAAGCGGGUGAAAAGCCCGCUCGCCGGAAGACCAAGGGUUCCUGUCCAACGUUAAUCGGGGCAGGGUGAGUCGACCCCUAAGGCGAGGCCGAAAGGCGUAGUCGAUGGGAAACAGGUUAAUAUUCCUGUACUUGGUGUUACUGCGAAGGGGGGACGGAGAAGGCUAUGUUGGCCGGGCGACGGUUGUCCCGGUUUAAGCGCGUAGGCUGGUUUUCCAGGCAAAUCCGGAAAAUCAAGGCUGAGGCGUGAUGACGAGGCACUACGGUGCUGAAGCAACAAAUGCCCUGCUUCCAGGAAAAGCCUCUAAGCAUCAGGUAACAUCAAAUCGUACCCCAAACCGACACAGGUGGUCAGGUAGAGAAUACCAAGGCGCUUGAGAGAACUCGGGUGAAGGAACUAGGCAAAAUGGUGCCGUAACUUCGGGAGAAGGCACGCUGAUAUGUAGGUGAAGUCCCUCGCGGAUGGAGCUGAAAUCAGUCGAAGAUACCAGCUGGCUGCAACUGUUUAUUAAAAACACAGCACUGUGCAAACACGAAAGUGGACGUAUACGGUGUGACGCCUGCCCGGUGCCGGAAGGUUAAUUGAUGGGGUCAGCGCAAGCGAAGCUCUUGAUCGAAGCCCCGGUAAACGGCGGCCGUAACUAUAACGGUCCUAAGGUAGCGAAAUUCCUUGUCGGGUAAGUUCCGACCUGCACGAAUGGCGUAAUGAUGGCCAGGCUGUCUCCACCCGAGACUCAGUGAAAUUGAACUCGCUGUGAAGAUGCAGUGUACCCGCGGCAAGACGGAAAGACCCCGUGAACCUUUACUAUAGCUUGACACUGAACAUUGAGCCUUGAUGUGUAGGAUAGGUGGGAGGCUUUGAAGUGUGGACGCCAGUCUGCAUGGAGCCGACCUUGAAAUACCACCCUUUAAUGUUUGAUGUUCUAACGUUGACCCGUAAUCCGGGUUGCGGACAGUGUCUGGUGGGUAGUUUGACUGGGGCGGUCUCCUCCUAAAGAGUAACGGAGGAGCACGAAGGUUGGCUAAUCCUGGUCGGACAUCAGGAGGUUAGUGCAAUGGCAUAAGCCAGCUUGACUGCGAGCGUGACGGCGCGAGCAGGUGCGAAAGCAGGUCAUAGUGAUCCGGUGGUUCUGAAUGGAAGGGCCAUCGCUCAACGGAUAAAAGGUACUCCGGGGAUAACAGGCUGAUACCGCCCAAGAGUUCAUAUCGACGGCGGUGUUUGGCACCUCGAUGUCGGCUCAUCACAUCCUGGGGCUGAAGUAGGUCCCAAGGGUAUGGCUGUUCGCCAUUUAAAGUGGUACGCGAGCUGGGUUUAGAACGUCGUGAGACAGUUCGGUCCCUAUCUGCCGUGGGCGCUGGAGAACUGAGGGGGGCUGCUCCUAGUACGAGAGGACCGGAGUGGACGCAUCACUGGUGUUCGGGUUGUCAUGCCAAUGGCACUGCCCGGUAGCUAAAUGCGGAAGAGAUAAGUGCUGAAAGCAUCUAAGCACGAAACUUGCCCCGAGAUGAGUUCUCCCUGACUCCUUGAGAGUCCUGAAGGAACGUUGAAGACGACGACGUUGAUAGGCCGGGUGUGUAAGCGCAGCGAUGCGUUGAGCUAACCGGUACUAAUGAACCGUGAGGCUUAACCUUACAACGCCGAAG
rnacentral:rRNA from 1 species